GUGGACUCUCAAGCGUGAGGUAAGGGCAUCUGGUGAAUGCCUUGGCAUGUACAGGCGAUGAAGGACGUGGCACGCUGCGAUAAGCGUGGGGGAGCUGUGAGCAAGCUUUGAUCCCGCGAUUUCCGAAUGGGACAACCCACCUUCACCAUUUAAGGCUGCCCCUGGGGAACCAGGAACAGCGUUAAAUGGGAGAGGUAUCACUAAGCUGAAUAAAAUAGGCUUUGGUGAAGCGAACCCGGAGAACUGAAACAUCUCAGUACCCGGAGGAAAAGACAUCAACCGAGAUUCCGUUAGUAGUGGCGAGCGAACGCGGACCAGGCCAGCGCCUGAUAUUUAGUUAGCAGAACACUCUGGAAAGUGUGGCCAUAGCGGGUGACAGCCCCGUAUGCGAAAGCGCAAUAUCAGGACUUGAGUAGGGCGGAGCACGUGAAACUCUGUCUGAACAUGGGGGGACCACCCUCCAAGCCUAAAUACUCGUACAUGACCGAUAGCGAACCAGUACCGUGAGGGAAAGGUGAAAAGCACCCCGAUGAGGGGAGUGAAACAGUACCUGAAACCGGAUGCCUACAAGCAGUGGGAGGGUCCUUGAGACCUGACCGCGUACCUCUUGCAUAAUGGGUCUGUGACUUAGUGUAUCGAGCAAGCUUAAGCCGUUAGGUGUAGGCGCAGCGAAAGCGAGUCUGAACAGGGCGUUUGAGUUCGAUGCAUUAGACCCGAAACCCGGCGAUCUAGGCAUGACCAGGCUGAAGGUGCGGUAACACGCACUGGAGGGCCGAACCGUUUAAUGUUGAAAAAUUAUCGGAUGAGUUGUGUUUAGGGGUGA
rnacentral:rRNA from 1 species